GCGAGAAGUGUUUUUUGCUUGCAUUGAACACGGACAGCGGCGAAAGGGAGAGUAACGCGUGGUUACGUGCCCAGGGGUCCAGGAUAGCGUUGGGAAACUGGCGGUAAUACUGGAUGAUAUCUAAGGAUCAAAGGUGAGAUUCCGCCCUUGGAUCGGACCGCGUACUAUUAGCUUGUUGGUGGGGUAAAGGCCUACCAAGGCAUUGAUGGUUACCGGGUGUGAGAGCAUGGCCCGGCUCACUGGGACUGAGACACUGCCCAGACACCUACGGGUGGCUGCAGUCGAGAAUCUUCGGCAAUGGACGCAAGUCUGACCGAGCGACGCCGCGUGCGGGAUGAAGGCCCUCGGGUUGUAAACCGCUGUCAGUUGGGAGGAAAGGAGUGUGCAGAGCACUCCCUGACCGAUCUUCAGAGGAAGGGCGGGCUAAGUUCGUGCCAGCAGCCGCGGUAAGACGAACCGCCCAAACGUUAUUCGGUAUCACUGGGCUUAAAGCGUGCGUAGGCGGCCCUGUAGGUGAGAUGUGAAAGCCCACGGCUCAACCGUGGAAUUGCGUUUCAAACCACAGGGCUUGAGGAAGACAGGGGUGUUGGGAACUUAUGGUGGAGCGGUGAAAUGCGUUGAUAUCAUAGGGAACACCGGUGGCGAAGGCGCAACACUGGGUCUUUUCUGACGCUGAGGCACGAAAGCUAGGGUAGCGAACGGGAUUAGAUACCCUGGUA
rnacentral:rRNA from 1 species